UAACAACAGCCUGUGGAAGAAGAAAUUAUGACUGAACCGUUUUCGCAAGGAUAAGACCUGUUUUUCCGUAGAAAAACCUAGAAUUGACACCGAAAGGUGGAUUGGAGAGGCAAACAACCGUUAAACACCGAACUCUAAAGCGUCCUGAGAAAUUGAUUGUGUAGGACCUUCGCCUUGAACGCCGCCGAAGGCUCUAUCAUCAAUCUCUCCAGGCGUUUGGCACCAAUAAAUCUGCCAGCUAUAGGACAGUUACACGAAACAAACGGCUUGGGUUACUUAGACAACAUUUUAUGAGCGGUGAGCACCUAUAUCACUGUAGCAUAUGGAUAUGGUGUGGACGGAUAGGGGCUGUUAAUUGAUGGGACUUGGUCCAAAAGUGCAACUGUUUGAUUGCGCCGSCUGGAACUGGGGCAGUGAAUGUUCCCAGUAAGCUACGCAUGGACUUGUCAAUAGAAAGACGAUCAACCAACGCAUCCUUUUGUUGUGGUGGAAAAAUUGUUCCACAUUGUAGCUUAUUGCAACAAUAAAAAAACAACCAUCAUUUAUGAGCAUUCAGGCGAGGUAUUUAAACUGGAUCCCAGUUCGUCUAAUUCGGGGAUCCUAUCGACUACGGAUUUGAUUAAUCGCUUUCAAAGACAACCCACUGCUCCCCUGAAAGGGACAAGAUGCCGUUCCACCAUGUGACGGCAGGGCUGCUGUACAAGGGGAACUAUCUGAGUCACUCUCUGUCUGAGGACAACGACUGUGACCAGCUGCCAGCAUCUCUGUGGAGGAGCUAAACGAGAUCCGGGAGGCAUUCAGAGUGCUGGACCGGGAUGGGAACGGGUUCAUCUCCAAGCAGGAGCUGGGCAUGGCCAUGAGGUCUCUGGGAUACAUGCCCAGUGAGGUGGAGCUGGCCAUCAUCAUGCAGAGACUAGACAUGGAUGGAGACGGGCAGGUAGACUUCGAUGAGUUCAUGACGAUCCUGGGACCCAAGCUCCUGUCGUCUGAAACCAGGGAGGGCUUCCUGGGGAGCACAAUAGACAGUAUAUUC